CCUCGGUUGGCAGGCUAUUCGAAGCCCAC
rnacentral:sRNA from 1 species